UACGGAGGGUGCAAGCGUUGUCCGGAUUUAUUGGGUUUAAAGGGUGCGUAGGCGGCUUUAUAAGUCAGGGGUGAAAGCCGGCAGCUUAACUGUCGAAAUGCCUUUGAUACUGUAGAGCUUGAGUACAGAUGAGGUAGGCGGAAUUGAUGGUGUAGCGGUGAAAUGCAUAGAUACCAUCAGGAACACCGAUUGCGAAGGCAGCUUACUGGGCUGUAACUGACGCUGAGGCACGAAAGUGCGGGGAUCAAACAGG
rnacentral:rRNA from 1 species